rnacentral:rRNA from 1 species
AGCUAUGGCCAUACCAUCCUGAAUAUGCCUGAUCUCAUAUGAUCAUGGAAGCUAAGCAGGGUUACUACUUGAAUGGGAGAACAACUGCAGGAGACAUGGACA